GAGGGUAUAGUUUUAAGCAGUAGAGCACAUGCUUAGCAUGCAUGAGGUCCUGGGUUCAAUCCCCAGUACCCUCU
rnacentral:tRNA from 1 species